CCUACGGGGGGCAGCAGUGGGGAAUAUUCGGCAAUGGGCGCAAGCCUGACCCAGCAACGCCGCGUGAAGGAAGAAGGCUUUCGGGUUGUAAACUUCUUUUGUCAGGGAAGAGUAUAAGACGGUACCUGACGAAUAAGCCACGGCUAACUACGUGCCAGCAGCCGCGGUAAUACGUAGGUGGCAAGCGUUGUCCGGAUUUACUGGGUGUAAAGGGCGUGUAGCCGGGUUGACAAGUCAGAUGUGAAAUCCUGCGGCUUAACCGAAGAACUGCAUGUGAAACUGUUGAUCUUGAGUACUGGAGAGGCAGACGGAAUGCCUAGUGUAGCGGUGAAAUGCGUAGAGAUUAGGAGGAACACCAGUGGCGAAGGCGGUCUGCUGGACAGCAACUGACGGUGAGGCGCGAAAGCGUGGGGAGCAAACAGGAUUAGAUACCCGAGUAGUC
rnacentral:rRNA from 1 species